rnacentral:rRNA from 1 species
UACGUAGGGGGCAAGCGUUGUCCGGAAUCAUUGGGCGUAAAGCGCGCGUAGGUGGCCAAGUAAGUCCGCUGUGAAAGUCAAAGGCUCAACCUUUGAAAGCCGGUGGAUACUGCAUGGCUAGAGUACGGAAGAGGCGAGUGGAAUUCCUGGUGUAGCGGUGAAAUGCGCAGAUAUCAGGAAGGAACACCCGGUGGCGAAGG